AUUGAACGCUGGCGGCAUGCUUUACACAUGCAAGUCGAACGGCAGCGCGGGCUUCGGCCUGGCGGCGAGUGGCGAACGGGUGAGUAAUGCAUCGGAACGUGCCCAGUAGUGGGGGAUAGCCCGGCGAAAGCCGGAUUAAUACCGCAUACGACCUGAGGGUGAAAGCGGGGGACCGAAAGGCCUCGCGCUAUUGGAGCGGCCGAUGUCGGAUUAGCUAGUUGGUGGGGUAAAGGCUUACCAAGGCGACGAUCCGUAGCUGGUCUGAGAGGACGACCAGUCACACUGGGACUGAGACACGGCCCAGACUCCUACGGGAGGCAGCAGUGGGGAAUUUUGGACAAUGGGGGCAACCCUGAUCCAGCCAUGCCGCGUGCGAGAAGAAGGCCUUCGGGUUGUAAACCGCUUUUGUUCGGGAAGAAAUCCUCUGGGCUAAUACCCCGGGGGGAUGACGGUACCGGAAGAAUAAGCACCGGCUAACUACGUG
rnacentral:rRNA from 1 species